rnacentral:rRNA from 1 species
AUGGAGGAUCCCACUCCAGUAUCUGCUUUGAUUCAUGCAACUAUUAUGGUCACUACUGGUGCUUUCAAGAUAGAAAGAAGCUAUGAUGUCAUUCCUUGCGGCAACCACUGGAAUAUUACAGAACGAUCUAAAAAGGGUCAUAGCUUAUUCAACUUGUAGUCAAUUAGGGUAUUUGAACUUUGCUUGCGGCAUCUCUAA